UGGGGAAUAUUGGACAAUGGGCGCAAGCCUGAUCCAGCCAUGCCGCGUGAGUGAAGAAGGCCCUUUGGGUUGUAAAGCUCUUUCAGCGGGGACGAUGAUGACGGUACCCGCAGAAGAAGCCCCGGCUAACUUCGUGCCAGCAGCCGCGGUAAUACGAAGGGGGCAAGCGUUGUUCAGAUUUACUGGGCGUAAAGGGCGCGUAGGCGGACGAUCAUGUCAGAGGUGAAAGCCCCGGGCUCAACCUGGGAAUUGCCUUUGAAACGGGUUGUCUUGAGGACGGGAGAGGAUGGUGGAAUACCCAGUGUAGAGGUGAAAUUCGUAGAUAUUGGGUGGAACACCGGUGGCGAAGGCGACCAUCUGGCCCGUAACUGACGCUGAGGCGCGAAAGCGUGGGGAGCAAACAGGAUUAGAUACCCCCGUAGUCC
rnacentral:rRNA from 1 species